UAAAUCACAAUGCGGGACUGUUAGUCUUGCAAUUGGAUUGAGAACAACGUACAACUCUUAUCGAUAAGCCAUUGGAGGGCAAGUCUGGUGCCAGCAGCCGCGGUAAUUCCAGCUCCAAUAGCGUAUAUUAACGUUGUUGCAGUUAAAAAGCUCGUAGUUGAAGUGAGGGAGUGUGUGGGUAUGAGAGCUAGUCUCAAGUACUUACAACCUCCCCCCUCCAAUCGGUGUAGUGGGGUAUUCAGUUAUUCUACUACUCCUUUGGUCGUUUACUGUGAGAAAAUUAGAGUGUUCAAAGCGGGCGUUUGUUUGAAUAGAUUAGCAUGGAAUAAUGAUUGAAGGCUUUCGUGUUCGAUUUGAUUGGUUUGUUCAUGGAAGCAAGGUUAAAAGGAACAGUUGGGGGUAUUCAUAUUCACUAGUUAGAGGUGAAAUUC
rnacentral:rRNA from 1 species